GGGUAUUGAGGAGGGCACCUUUUGGGAUGAGCACUGGGUGUUUUACACAGGGGAUAAAUCACUGCAAUCUAUUCCCGAAAUCAUUAUUGCACUGUAUGCUAACUUGGAUAUAAAUUAAAAAAAAAAAAAUACAUACGUAAAAUUAAAAAAUAAAAAAAA